rnacentral:rRNA from 1 species
UCGAGCGGAACGAGUUAUCUGAACCUUCGGGGGACGAUAACGGCGUCGAGCGGCGGACGGGUGAGUAAUGCCUAGGAAAUUGCCCUGAUGUGGGGGAUAACCAUUGGAAACGAUGGCUAAUACCGCAUAAUGCCUACGGGCCAAAGAGGGGGACCUUCGGGCCUCUCGCGUCAGGAUAUGCCUAGGUGGGAUUAGCUAGUUGGUGAGGUAAUGGCUCACCAAGGCGACGAUCCCUAGCUGGUCUGAGAGGAUGAUCAGCCACACUGGAACUGAGACACGGUCCAGACUCCUACGGGAGGCAGCAGUGGGGAAUAUUGCACAAUGGGCGCAAGCCUGAUGCAGCCAUGCCGCGUGUGUGAAGAAGGCCUUCGGGUUGUAAAGCACUUUCAGUCGUGAGGAAGGUAGUGUAGUUAAUAGCUGCAUUAUUUGACGUUAGCGACAGAAGAAGCACCGGCUAACUCCGUGCCAGCAGCCGCGGUAAUACGGAGGGUGCGAGCGUUAAUCGGAAUUACUGGGCGUAAAGCGCAUGCAGGUGGUUUGUUAAGUCAGAUGUGAAAGCCCGGGGCUCAACCUCGGAAUUGCAUUUGAAACUGGCAGACUAGAGUACUGUAGAGGGGGGUAGAAUUUCAGGUGUAGCGGUGAAAUGCGUAGAGAUCUGAAGGAAUACCGGUGGCGAAGGCGGCCCCCUGGACAGAU